rnacentral:rRNA from 1 species
CCUACGGGAGGCUGCAGUAAGGAAUAUUGGUCAAUGGACGCAAGUCUGAACCAGCCAUGCCGCGUGAAGGAUGAAGGUCCUCUGGAUUGUAAACUUCUUUUAUAUGGGACGAAACCUGGGAAUUCUUUUCCAAUUGACGGUACCAUAGGAAUAAGCACCGGCUAACUCCGUGCCAGCAGCCGCGGUAAUACGGAGGGUGCAAGCGUUAUCCGGAUUCACUGGGUUUAAAGGGUGCGUAGGAGGGCAGGUAAGUCAGUGGUGAAAUCCUGGGGCUUAACUCCAGAACUGCCGUUGAUACUAUCUGUCUUGAAUAUUGUGGAGGUGAGCGGAAUAUGUCAUGUAGCGGUGAAAUGCUUAGAUAUGACAUAGAACACCAAUUGCGAAGGCAGCUUGCUACGCAUAUAUUGACUCUGAGGCACGAAAGCGUGGGGAUCAAACAG